UACAGAGGUCGCAAGCGUUGUUCGGAUUUACUGGGCGUAAAGGGUACGUAGGCGGCGUGGCGUGUCGGAUGUGAAAUCUCCGGGCUCAACCCGGAAAGUGCGUCCGAAACUACCGCGCUUCGAGAGCGGGAGAGGGGACCGGAAUGCAGGGUGUAGCGGUGAAAUGCGUUGAUAUCCUGCAGAACACCGGAGGCGAAGGCGGGUCCCUGGAACGCUUCUGACGCUAAGGUACGAAAGUCGGGGGAGCAAA
rnacentral:rRNA from 1 species